GACGAACGCUGGCGGCGUGCUUAACACAUGCAAGUCGAACGGAAAGGCCCUGCUUUUGUGGGGUGCUCGAGUGGCGAACGGGUGAGUAACACGUGAGUAACCUGCCCUUGACUUUGGGAUAACUUCAGGAAACUGGGGCUAAUACCGGAUAGGAGCUCCUGCUGCAUGGUGGGGGUUGGAAAGUUUCGGCGGUUGGGGAUGGACUCGCGGCUUAUCGGCUUGUUGGUGGGGUAGUGGCCUACCAAGGCUUUGACGGGUAGCCGGCCUGAGAGGGUGACCGGCCACAUUGGGACUGAGAUACGGCCCAGACUCCUACGGGAGGCAGCAGUGGGGAAUAUUGCACAAUGGGCGGAAGCCUGAUGCAGCAACGCCGCGUGCGGGAUGACGGCCUUCGGGUUGUAAACCGCUUUCGCCUGUGACGAAGCGUGAGUGACGGUAAUGGGUAAAGAAGCACCGGCUAACUACGUG
rnacentral:rRNA from 1 species